rnacentral:rRNA from 1 species
UACGUAGGGGGCUAGCGUUAUCCGGAAUUACUGGGCGUAAAGGGUGCGUAGGUGGUUUCUUAAGUCAGAGGUGAAAGGCUACGGCUCAACCGUAGUAAGCCUUUGAAACUGGGAAACUUGAGUGCAGGAGAGGAAACUGGAAUUCCUGGUGUAGCGGUGGAAUGCGCAGAUAUCAGGAGGAACACCGGUGGCGAAGGCGGGUCUCUGGGCAGUGAACUGACGCUGAGGAGCGAAGCGUGGGGAGCGAACAGG